CCUACGGGAGGCAGCAGUGAGGAAUAUUGGUCAAUGGGCGCAAGCCUGAACCAGCCAAGUCGCGUGAGGGAUGACGGUCCUAUGGAUUGUAAACCUCUUUUGUCGGGGAGCAAGGCCCGCCACGUGUGGCGGGAAGGAGAGUACCCGAAGAAAAAGCAUCGGCUAACUCGGUGCCAGCAGCCGCGGUAAUACGGAGGAUGCGAGCGUUAUCCGGAUUUAUUGGGUUUAAAGGGUGCGUAGGCGGACAGUCAAGUCAGCGGUAAAAAUGCGGUGCUGAACGCCGUACAGCCGUUGAAACUGGCAGUCUUGAGUGGGCGAGAGGUAUGCGGAAUGCGUGGUGUAGCGGUGAAAUGCAUAGAUAUCACGAAGAACCCCGAUUGCGAAGGCAGCUUACUAAACUGUGACUGACAUUGAUGCUCGAAAGUGUGGGUAUCAAACAGGAUUAGAUACCCGAGUAGUC
rnacentral:rRNA from 1 species